CCUACGGGAGGCUGCAGUGGGGAAUAUUGGACAAUGGGGGCAACCCUGAUCCAGCCAUGCCGCGUGUGUGAAGAAGGCCCUCGGGUUGUAAAGCACUUUCAGUGAGGAAGAACGCCUGGUGGUUAAUACCCAUCAGGAAAGACAUCACUCACAGAAGAAGCACCGGCUAACUCCGUGCCAGCAGCCGCGGUAAUACGGAGGGUGCGAGCGUUAAUCGGAAUUACUGGGCGUAAAGCGCGCGUAGGUGGCUUGAUAAGCCGGUUGUGAAAGCCCCGGGCUCAACCUGGGAACGGCAUCCGGAACUGUCAAGCUAGAGUGCAGGAGAGGAAGGUAGAAUUCCCGGUGGAGCGGUGAAAUGCGUAGAGAUCGGGAGGAAUACCAGUGGCGAAGGCGGCCUUCUGGACUGACACUGACACUGAGGUGCGAAAGCGUGGGUAGCAAACAGGAUUAGAUACCCUAGUAGUC
rnacentral:rRNA from 1 species